CAACAGCCCCUCCGGGGGAUGCAGGGGGAGAUGCGGCCGGGGAUGCGGGAGGAGGCGACGGCGCGGGGUGUGUGUGUGUGUGUCCCCCCCCGGGGCGGAGGAGAUAAGGAGAUUUAACUAGCAGAUUCCCCAGGCUGAACCCCUCCGCCGGGCUGAAUUUAGCAGCAGAAGAGAUAACCGGGAGAUAAGGACUGAUACCCGGGGAGGAGAGCAGGAGACCGGGAGGCGGCGGAGGGAAGGGGGAGAAGCCGGAGGCAGCGUUGGGAAGGGCUGCAAAUCCAGAUGUGCAGGGUUUUGGACACGCAUCUCCCUUUCCACGCCUUGCAAGAUCCCGUGUGAUUUUCUCUAGCGAAGCAGCGUUUUGCUGAAGCUUCGUUGAAUUCCGACUGAAUAUCAGAUAUCAGCGCUUUCUUUAAAAAAAAAAUAAUAAUAAAACCGAGGAAAAAUCCAGUUAAAACCGAUGAAAACUGCCCGAGCAGCUGUACCAGGAGCACAGACGAUUUCAAGGACCUGCCUUGGCUUUGGCUUUUCUGUGAAGAAAACACACAAAAAAAUUAAUUCCCGUGGUGGGUUUUGCGUGUGUGCAGUCGGAUCCAGCUUCUUUCAGCGGGGAAAUAUCAGUCCUUAGCGCCCAGCAUCCCGAAAAAAUCAGUGCCGUGAGGCGCUGAGCCCAACCCGGUGCAAACUAACAGCCGGGAGGGAGAGGGAUGGAUUUCAGUGACUUUUUAUCCCGAAAAAAAAAAAAAAAAAAAAAAAAGCAGCAGAAGAUGGGACACAGCAGAGCGCAGCGAAAAAAAUCUCUGCUCCGCACUCGAAGGAGCUUUUUUUUCCCCCCCCUGGAAUUUGCUCGCCCGCAAAGCGAAGAAUUUAACGAAAUCUGGCUGAAAAUAACCCUGCGGAACAAAUCUCGGCCUUUCCGCUCUCUUUUCCAGCCCCCUCUUGUCCCCCAGGGAGGAAAGAAACCCGUAAAAUGCCGGGAUUUUAUUUUCUUUUGCCCGCAUCGAAGUUAAUUCCGCGGCGGUUUUAGAGUUAAAAAGUUCCGCGGCUGUUGAUAGAUGCCCCCGCGAGUGGCAGUGAACAAAAAAACUAUUAAAAAAGAAAAAAAAAAAAAACACAA